rnacentral:rRNA from 1 species
CCUACGGGAGGCAGCAGUGAGGAAUAUUGGUCAAUGGACGCAAGUCUGAACCAGCCAAGUAGCGUGCAGGAUGACGGCCCUCCGGGUUGUAAACUGCUUUUAGUUGGGAAUAAAAUGGGGCUCGUGAGCCCCGUCUUGUAUGUACCAUCAGAAAAAGGACCGGCUAAUUCCGUGCCAGCAGCCGCGGUAAUACGGAAGGUCCGGGCGUUAUCCGGAUUUAUUGGGUUUAAAGGGUGCGUAGGCGGAAUGCCAAGUCAGCGGUAAAAUCGCGGGGCUCAACCUCGCUCCGCCGUUGAAACUGGCGUACUUGAGUGAGCGAGAAGUAAGCGGAAUGCGUUGUGUAGCGGUGAAAUGCAUAGAUAUCACGAAGAACUCCGAUGGCGAAGGCAGCAUACCGGGGCCCAACUGACGCUGAAGCACGAAAGCGUGGGUAUCGAACAGGAUUAGAUACCCCGGUAGUC